GAGCUUGGGCUAAGCAGCGGCCGCAAUAGAAGCUGGUCGCUUGAAGCAAGAGGUAAUUGGCGCGGAAGAGGCCGGCAAGGCGAGGCCGAAAGCGGCCAGAGUGGCCGCAAGCUCGCGGCGGCAGCCAUGGCCGCGAGCUCACAGCAAGCUGGGCGACGCAACUAGGGGGCCACGGCGGCGCCCGUGUUCGGCCAGUAGCAGCUGCGUCUGAGGUCGGCGGGGGUGUAGGCAGCGGCCAGCAAGGCUAGAGGAAGCCGCAAUGGCGGCUGGCGGCAACGGAGGCAGGCGGAGUGGCUGCUGGGCGUGUGGCUAUGGCAGUAGUCGCGCGUAGGAGGGAAAAGAAGAAGGGAAGAAGAAGAAAGAGGAAGGAAGAAGAAGAGAACAGGCAGGGAAAAAGAAGAAGAAGAAGAAGAAGAAAAAAAAAAAAGAAAAAAAAAUGGGAAAAAAAUGUCGAAAAAAAUCUCAAAAAUAGGAAAUUAUGUUUUGGUAAUAUUCUAGAGAUUUUGGCAAGAAAAACGGUUCGAGCACGCGUUUUGAGAAUAUGACACGCAUACCGAGGAAGUUAGAGAUGUUGAGUUAAGGUUGGCAAGCAAAUCGAGGCGAUGCACGAGGCAAGGCACGGAUAUCGAGGUAGCCCGAUAAGCUUGAGAAGAAUAUUCAAACAUUUCAGGUGGAGAUUGUAGCAGAUACGAGGAUAAAUGAGGCAUAAAAUGGCACUUAGCAGAGUGCAUGAGAAAUGAAAUGUAUGUAACGUAGCCCCUGUAUUUAAGUUCUGCUACUUUAGAUUUUGAACGUUUUGAGGAAUGUUGAAGAUAUAAGCAUUUAUGAUUAAUGUUAAGAUAUCAGAUUUCGAUCAUUGCUUCCGCAUUUGAUGUGUAUAGUGAUUCUCU